CUUCCUGAGUGAUUGCAAUAUGCAAAUGUUAUAUAAUAAAUAAUUGGAUUGGCAUUUGUCCCUGGUCCUUAGGGAGGAGAGAAACUCCAAAUUCUUGGAAUUCCUCCAGUGAUAAGAGUGUCUUUGUUUUUCCAUAGUGAGCCCUUGGACCACACCUGAGUUUAUGCUAAGUAGAUGACUCAGAUCGGGGGCUGGUCAUGCCUGAAAGACCAACCAUUGGAUUAAAAGUCUUGAGCCAUAGUGAUAUUAGCAUAAACUUUCAACUUCCAAGGAGCUGAAUGAGAAGCUCUUGUCAAGGGUGGGAUGUCACCAAGCAAGGUCAGGUGACUGGCUGACUUCCAAGAAGCGGCAUUCAUCCUCAAGAAUCUGCCACAGUCCGGAGCCUUUCUCAGCUUUCCAGGUGCAUCAUUUUCAUCUUGCUACCACUCUAAAGUUGAUUCUUCUUGGACAAGCUGAUUCACACUGAACAAAAUUGCUGUAUGGCCAAUUAGUUGUGCAGUGAACAUGCUUGCAGCAGAUGUUUACAACAAGGAU